rnacentral:rRNA from 1 species
AUGUCGAGGCGCGGCGACUGGGUCUACGAGAACAACGGCGGGACCUGCGUGGCCAUCGCCGGCGCGGACUACUGCGUGGUCGCCGCCGACACCCGCCUCUCCGUCGGAUACAACAUCCUCACGCGCGAGCACUCCAAGAUCUGCGAGCUGGCCGAUAAAUGUGUAAUAGCAUCUUCUGGCUUCCAAGGUGACAUCAAAGCUCUACAGAAGAACUUAGCUGCCAGAGAACUGCUAUACCAGCACCAGCACAAUAAAAGGAUGAGCUGCCCAGCAAUGGCACAAUUGCUCUCCAAUACUCUGUACUACAAGCGAUUCUUCCCAUAUUAUGCUUUCAACGUGCUUGGUGGGCUUGACAGUGAAGGGAAAGGAUGCGUGUACUCGUAUGAUGCUGUUGGGUCCUAUGAGAGGACUGGUUACAGUGCUCAGGGAUCAGGAUCUACUUUGAUCAUGCCAGUGUUGGACAACCAGCUGAAAUCACCUAGUCCACUAUUAGUCCCUGCAAGAGAUGCCGUCACCCCUUUGUCCGAGUCAGAGGCGGUCGACCUAGUUAAGGAUGUCUUUGCAUCUGCAACUGAGAGGGACAUCUACACCGGGGACAAGGUGGAGAUUGUAGUCAUCAACAAAGCUGGUACAAGGCGCGAGUACAUCGAGUUGAGGAAGGACUAA